rnacentral:rRNA from 1 species
UACGAAGGGGGCUAGCGUUGCUCGGAAUCACUGGGCGUAAAGCGCCCGUAGGCGGAUUGUUAAGUCAGGGGUGAAAUCCCGAGGCUCAACCUCGGAACUGCCUUUGAUACUGGGGAUCUCGAGUCCGGGAGAGGUGAGUGGAACUGCGAGUGUAGAGGUGAAAUUCGUAGAUAUUCGCAAGAACACCAGUGGCGAAGGCGGCUCACUGGCCCGGAACUGACGCUGAGGUGCGAAAGCGUGGGGAGCAAACAGG